rnacentral:rRNA from 1 species
CCUACGGGUGACAGCAGUGAGGAAUAUUGGUCAAUGGACGCAAGUCUGAACCAGCCAUGCCGCGUGCAGGAAGACGGCUCUAUGAGUUGUAAACUGCUUUUGUACGAGGGUAAAUCCCGAUACGUGUAUCGUGUUGAAAGUAUCGUACGAAUAAGGAUCGGCUAACUCCGUGCCAGCAGCCGCGGUAAUACGGAGGAUCCAAGCGUUAUCCGGAUUUAUUGGGUUUAAAGGGUGCGUAGGCGGUUCGAUAAGUUAGAGGUGAAAUCCCGGGGCUCAACUCCGGCACUGCAUCUGAUACUGUCAGGCUAGAGUUUAGUUGCGGUAGGCGGAAUGUAUGGUGUAGCGGUGAAAUGCAUAGAGAUCAUACAGAACACCGAUUGCGAAGGCAGCUUACCAAACUACGACUGACGUUGAGGCACGAAAGCGUGGGGAGCAAACAGGAUUAGAUACCCUUGUAGUC